rnacentral:piRNA from 1 species
UACGUAUAUGGUUUCAGGCUGACCACGU